GCACGGGAUCGUAACGUAAUGUCAUAAUGCGCAUUUCACUAAGAGCACGCGUCGAUAAAUAAAAGUGUGCGCAGCUCGUUCUUUCCUUUUUUCGGGCAAUGGUUUGGUAGCCUAUGUUUGUAGUCCUAUGAGUGGUGAAUUGGCCUCGAGCGUGUAGCCAUUUUGCCUCUUGAUAUUGUGAUAAACUAACGUUAUUAUUUUAUAUGACUGUGAUUUCAGUCAUAGUUCAGCAGCUAGUGGAGCAGGGCUCUUGGUAAUUCUUCGUCUGUGGCGGUUAACKAGAAUUGUAAAUGGAAUAGUAAUGUCUGUGAAGAUACAAUCUGAGAAAAAAAUUGAAGUGCUGGCUAAAGAAAAAGAAGAAAUGCAAAAAGAAUUAGAACAACUAAAGGCAAGAAACCACGAACUCGAGAUGCAAGUAAACCUCUUAAGAAAUGAGCAGGGCGAGCAUUCAGAACAAGCAAAGGAUGCAUAGUUUCUCGUUCCAGUCCACAAUCAUAUUGUAAAUAUAUUUUGAUAUGCUAUUUUACUUAUACUAUUCGMAAAUUAGUUAUUAGUUUUUGCAAAAUGGAAAAUUUCUUUUGUCAGAAUUUUGCAAAGCUUUUUGUCUAUAACCUAUAAUAUGUAAAUAUCGUCU